UUAUUUUAUUGCUCGAGCAAUUAAAUAAUGAAUAUGAUAUUCUGUUCAAUCAUCUACUUGUUCAAGUUUAGACAUUUUCAAAAGGCAAUCUUGGAGCUCACUUCAACAUAUUGGUGAUGAUCUAGAAUCGCUUUUACUUCUGCUGAACGUAAAAUGGUUGGGACUUAGCAAAACGGAGUGGACUCCGUUCGAAUUCCGGGUAAGGGGCACAGGCGGGCAGCACGAGCAGGCCUCCUGGUAGGCAGCGGGCAGGGGGAGAGCUCGGGCAGGCAGGGUGGAAGCUCAGUUGGUCAGCCGACAGCUCAGGCGGGCAGGGCGGGAGCUCAGACGGGCAGGAUGGGAGCUCUAGCGGGUAGUUCAGACGGUCAAGGCGGGAGCUCCAGCGGGUAGCUCAGCUUGGGCAGGGUGGUGGUGGCUGGGCAGCCGGUCAGUUUUUUUUUAAUUAAAUUUUAGAUAUUUUCCUGCAACCUUUUUUCGACGGAAAAAGGCCGAAAAGAUGACAGAAAUUUACAAAACUGCCGAAAGAUGAUGAUUUUUCGCUGGAAAAUACCGCUGGUAAUAAUUGAUUUUCAUGUAGUGAUUUUUACCUAAAACUUUCUCCUAAGGUCAGGCUUAUGACUUUCCUACGAAAGUUGCCGGGUAGUAAGUCUUACAAUCAAGUUCUUAUAAAUAAGGUUGCCCAAAUUUUGAAUUUGAUUGUGUUUGUUGAGUUAAUACCAGUGCUUUGAGAGAUUUGCCACUAUUUUUUUUGGAUUUUAGUACUUUGCUAUACUAUUAUUUUUACUAUAGUGUUUUUCUUGUUACUGUUUAGUAGCUUCUUUUUAGCACCUGCAUAUACUAGUAAAUUUUUACCAAUAAUCUGCUUAUUUUCCUAUUUUACCAUUUAAUUUGAUAUAAAUUUAUAUUGAUGCUUAAUGAAAUUUCAUUUUAUUUGUUUACAUGAGCUCGUAUAUGAGAGAUCUUGGAAAGUUUGCACAGGGAUUUGAAGAUUUCUGAGUUGUUUGUACAGGUUUUGGGAGAGCUGAGUGAGUUGAGUUUGUUGUCGGGAGUUAUAGUUUGAGAGUUGGAGAGUUUGAGAGUUUUUUUGAGAGUUGGAAAGCAACACUGUAUAUGUCAUUUAGUGAAAACUUUUCUUCCGCCC